GUCGCGCUCCAUUCGGGCGAGCGUAUUGGCCAUGGUUGCCUGCUCGAUGUCGAGCCGGUCGAGAAGUUGUCU
rnacentral:sRNA from 1 species